AUAUGUAUAUAUAUUAUAUAUAUAUAAUAGAUAUAUACACAUAUAUUAUAUAUGUAUAAUUACAAUAACACUUAAAUAAACAGUACCCCCCAUGUACAGGUUUUAUGGUGUUUUGGAAAGUUAGAGAGUCACAAAUAAGGCUUGCAUUUACUUUUUUUUUUACAUUGAAAUUUCCCAGAUUGGUUAUGUUGCCUUUGAGAGCGUAUGGUAGCCCAGGAAUGAGAAUUACCCCAUGAUGGC